rnacentral:piRNA from 1 species
UAAAUAGGAGGUGUGGUUUCUGCCAAGA